rnacentral:rRNA from 1 species
GACAAAGUGGUUUUCAGAUGAGUAGGAGGGCGUGGCGGUCGAAAGGAAGCGUCGGUGCGAACCGGCGUGAAUCGGCCGCUAGUGCAGAUCUUGGUGGUAGUAGCAAAUAUUCAAGUGAGAUCCUUGAAGGACGAAGCGGGGAAGGGUUCCACGCGAACAUUGAUUGAGCGUGGGUGAGUCGUUCCUAAGCCGAGUGGUCAUAGCUAAUUACCGGCGAAAGGGAAGCAGGUUGACAUUCCUGCACACGGAUGUGGAGGCGGUGACGCCGUAUUGGGGUGGUUACGUUGGCGGAGGCUCUGGGCAGAGUUGUCUUUUCUGUUUGACCGUCAGUGUACGCUGUGUGGAAUUCGCUUGUCGAGAGAAACACGCGUGCACGGGCAGAGCGCCGGGGCUUUUCCGGCGUCCAGAUCGCCUCCGACAGCCCUUGAAACACCAUCUGCUGGACAACUUUGUUGUUUGUAAAAUCCACGCCGUGGCGUACCGAUCACCGCAUCAGGUCCCCAAGGUGAACAGCCUCUGUCCAAUAUGAACAAUGCAGGUAAGGGAAGUCGGCAAAUUGGACCCGUAACUUUGGGAAAAGGGUUGGCUCUAGUGCUGCGUGGGACUGGUUGUCGUUUCGUCAGUGCUGAAGCUCAGGUGGGUGUCGCGGUAGGGAAACCUUCUGUGACCCUGCUCAGGCUUCUUUACUGCGGACGACGACGCCCACAUGCAUGCAGCAAACUAGAACUGCAACGGGCAAAGGGAA